rnacentral:rRNA from 1 species
ACUCCUGCGGGAGGCAGCAGUGGGGAAUUUUGGACAAUGGGCGAAAGCCUGAUCCAGCAAUGCCGCGUGUGUGAAGAAGGCCUUCGGGUUGUAAAGCACUUUUGUCCGGAAAGAAAUCCUUGGCUCUAAUACAGUCGGGGGAUGACGGUACCGGAAGAAUAAGCACCGGCUAACUACGUGCCAGCAGCCGCGGUAAUACGUAGGGUGCGAGCGUUAAUCGGAAUUACUGGGCGUAAAGCGUGCGCAGGCGGUUUGCUAAGACCGAUGUGAAAUCCCCGGGCUCAACCUGGGAACUGCAUUGGUGACUGGCAGGCUAGAGUAUGGCAGAGGGGGGUAGAAUUCCACGUGGAGCAGUGAAAUGCGUAGAGAUGUGGAGGAAUACCGAUGGCGAAGGCAGCCCCCUGGGCCAAUACUGACGCUCAUGCACGAAAGCGUGGGGAGCAAACAGGAUUAGAAACCCCGGUAGUCCC